rnacentral:rRNA from 1 species
CCUACGGGGGGCAGCAGUCGGGAAUAUUGCGCAAUGGAGGAAACUCUGACGCAGUGACGCCGCGUAUGGGAAGAAGGUUUUCGGAUUGUAAACCAUUGUCGUUAGGGAAGAAGAAGUGACAGUACCUAAGGAGGAAGCUCCGGCUAACUAUGUGCCAGCAGCCGCGGUAAUACGUAGGGGGCAAGCGUUAUCCGGAUUUACUGGGUGUAAAGGGAGCGUAGACGGAUUUGCAAGUCUGAUGUGAAAAUCCGGGGCCCAACCCCGGAACUGCAUUGGCAACUGUAUUUCUAGUGUGUCGCAGAGGG